CGGCUCCCCGGGCGCCCGUUCGCAGGACGGCGCUUCCCGCCACGCCUCGCCGCUCCCCCCUCCCCCCGGCGGAGCGGUUGGUACACUGCCACUGAAACCAGAUCGUACUCAGUUUUGAUUCUGUGCUUUGACAUCCUCUGGAAGGACUGAAACAAGGGCUGUGCUGAGCAAGAAGCGUAUCAAGCACAUGAGCUCAAUGUUUCAUGACUACAAACAAGAUCAUAAAGGGACAUGCAAUAGUGGACUGCAAGAGAGUCCCAGCUGUACAUUACAUCUCUCCUCUCCCAUACACUGGAACAGCAAGGACUGUGCAAGAUGAAUAGAGACCAGACUCCCUUCUGUGUGCUCUGUCUGCAGUUUAACCCACUCACACAAGCAAAGAGUCUC